AAAUAUUUUCUCCCUUUGAACUUAUCUCCGUAAAGCCAUUGUGCCUCCUGUUGGGGGUCACGUGUUCACAAUCAAUGGCCUUUGAGGAGCUCUUGAGUCAAGUUGGAGGCCUUCGGAGAUUUCAGAUCCUUCAUCUGGUUUUUAUUCUUCCCUCUCUCAUGUUAUUAAUCCCUCAUAUACUGCUAGAGAACUUUGCUGCAGCCAUUCCUGGUCAUCGUUGCUGGGUCCACAUGGUGGACAAUAAUACUGGAUCUGGUAAUGAAACUGGAAUCCUCAGUGAAGAUGCCCUCUUGAGAAUUUCUAUCCCACUAGACUCAAAUCUGAGGCCAGAGAAGUGUCGUCGCUUUGUCCAUCCCCAGUGGCAGCUUCUUCACCUGAAUGGGACUAUCCACAGCACAAGUGAGGCAGACACAGAACCCUGUGUGGAUGGCUGGGUAUAUGAUCAAAGCUACUUCCCUUCGACCAUUGUGACUAAGUGGGACCUGGUAUGUGAUUAUCAGUCACUGAAAUCAGUGGUUCAAUUCCUACUUCUGACUGGAAUGCUGGUGGGAGGCAUCAU
rnacentral:sRNA from 1 species